AUACGGAGUGGGCUAGCGUUGUUCGGAAUUACUGGGCGUAAAGCGCGCGUAGGCGGACCAGUCAGUCAGGGGUGAAAUCCCGGGGCUCAACCCCGGAACUGCCUUUGAUACUGCUGGUCUUGAGUUCGAGAGAGGUGAGUGGAAUUCCGAGUGUAGAGGUGAAAUUCGUAGAUAUUCGGAGGAACACCAGUGGCGAAGGCGGCUCACUGGCUCGAUACUGACGCUGUGGUGCGAAAGCGUGGGGAGCAAACAGGAUUAGAAACCCUAGUAGUCC
rnacentral:rRNA from 1 species